AUAGCUAUAGUAUAAUGGUAAUACACUAUGCUUCUAACAUAGAAUAUGAGAGUUCGAAUCUUCUAGCUAUU
rnacentral:tRNA from 1 species